rnacentral:rRNA from 1 species
GAUGAACGCUGGCGGCGUGCCUAAUACAUGCAAGUCGAGCGAACAGACGAGAGUGCUUGCACUCUCUGACGUUAGCGGCGGACGGGCGAGUAACACGUGGGUAACCUACCUAUAAGACUGGGAUAACUUCGGGAAACCGGAGCUAAUACCGGAUAAUAUUUAGCUUCGCAUGAAGCAAUAGUGAAAGACGGUUCUGCUGUCACUUAUAGAUGGACCCGCGGUGUAUUAGCUAGUUGGUGGGGUAACGGCUCACCAAGGCAACGAUACAUAGCCGACCUGAGAGGGUGAUCGGCCACACUGGGACUGAGACACGGCCCAGACUCCUACGGGAGGCAGCAGUAGGGAAUCUUCCGCAAUGGACGAAAGUCUGACGGAGCAAUGCCGCGUGAGUGAAGAAGGUUUUCGGAUCGUAAAACUCUGUUGUAAGGGAAGAACAAGUACGUUAGUAACUGAACGUACCUUGACGGUACCUGACCAGAAAGCCACGGCUAACUACGUG